AGCGGCAACAGCUCAAAUUUGAAAUCUGGUUCCUUUGGAGCCCGAGUUGUAAUUUGUAGAGGGUGCUUUGGCGUCGGCCAUGGUCUAAGUUCCUUGGAACAGGACGUCACAGAGGGUGAGAAUCCCGUACGUGGCCGCUGGCCUUCGCCAUGUAAAGCCCCUUCGACGAGUCGAGUUGUUUGGGAAUGCAGCUCUAAAUGGGAGGUAAAUUUCUUCUAAAGCUAAAUAUUGGCCAGAGACCGAUAGCGCACAAGUAGAGUGAUCGAAAGAUGAAAAGCACUUUGGAAAGAGAGUCAAAAAGCACGUGAAAUUGUUGAAAGGGAAGCGCUUGCAGCCAGACUUGCUCGUAGUUGCUCAUCUAGGCUUCUGCCUGGUGCACUCUUCUGCGGGCAGGCCAGCAUCAGUUCAGGCGGUCGGAUAAAGGUCUUGGGAAUGUGGCUCUCUUCGGGGAGUGUUAUAGCCCAGGGUGUAAUGCGACCAGUCUGGACUGAGGUCCGCGCAUCUGCUAGGAUGCUGGCGUAAUGGCUGUAAGCGGCCCGUCUUGAAACACGGACCAAGGAGUCUAACAUCUAUGCAAGUGUUUGGGUGUCAAGCCCGAGCGCGCAAUGAAAGUGAACGGAGGUGGGAACCCGCAAGGGUGCACCAUCGACCGAUCCUGAUGUCUUCGGAUGGAUUUGAGUAAGAGCAUAGCUGUUGGGACCCGAAAGAUGGUGAACUAUGCCUGAAUAGGGUGAAGCCAGAGGAAACUCUGGUGGAGGCUCGCAGCGGUUCUGACGUGCAAAUCGAUCGUCAAAU
rnacentral:rRNA from 1 species